GUGCUCGAUUCGGCAGCACAUAUACUUAAAACUUAGAAUGAUAUAGAGAAGAUUAGCAUGGACCCUGCGCAUGGAUGACAUGCAAAUUUGUGAAGCGUCCCAUAUUUUA